AACGAACGCUGGCGGCAUGCCUAACACAUGCAAGUCGAACGAGCCCUUCGGGUUUAGUGGCGCACGGGUGCGUAAAGCGUGGGAACCUGCCCUUAGGUUCGGAAUAACUCCCCGAAAGGGGUGCUCUAACAGGAUAAUGUCUUCGGACCAAAGAUUUAUCGUCUUUGGAUGGGCCCGCGUUGGUUUUGCUCGUUGGUAGGGUAAAAGCCAACCAAGGCGACGCUCUCUAGCUGGUCUGAGAGGAUGUUCGGCAACACUGGGACUGGGACACGGCCCAGACUCCUACGGGAGGCGGCGUGGGGGAUAAUUGAACAUGGGGCGAAGGCCGGACCCGGCAAGGCCGCGUAGGGAAUGAGGGCCUAAGGUUGGUAAGGCUCUUUUUCCCGGAAGGUUAAGAACGGUACCGAGAGAUUAAGCUCCGGCUAACUCGUG
rnacentral:rRNA from 1 species